UGAUCCUUCUCUCUCCAGGGUCAUGGAGGUCCAUCUAUGUGCCCGUGGGUCUAGCAGCUCUCAUAAUAACUGUAGUGGCGGUCAACAUGUGGACGAGAGCUAAAGAGAAGAAAACACAGACGGAGGACAUAGCUGUGCGUUAUGACGUAGAUGAUGAUACAGUGAACUAUGAGAACAUCAGAUCUCCUGAUGGAGUCUGACCAACACUUCUGCCUCCAUCAGCCUCCACCCAUCAACUCGUCACCUUUUACUGGAGGAGUUCAACGCUGUCAAGAACAAAAAGAAUCAUUAAGGCUUAUUUUAUUUUAGUCUGAUGUAUUUCCUGCAUCGACUGUAAAAA